CGGGGGGAGCAAGCGUUGUUCGGAUUUACUGGGCGUAAAGGGCGCGUAGGCGGCGCAACAAGUCACUUGUGAAAUCUCCGGGCUUAACCCGGAGCGGCCAAGUGAUACUGUCGUGCUAGAGUGCGGAAGGGGCUACUGGAAUUCUCGGUGUAGCGGUGAAAUGCGUAGAUAUCGAGAGGAACACCUGCGGCGAAGGCGGGUAGCUGGGCCGACACUGACGCUGAGGCGCGAAAGCCAGGGGGAGCGAACGGGAUUAGAUACCCCGGUAGUCCUGGCCUUAAACGAUGGAUGGCUUGGUGUCCGGGGUUACAUAGUCCCCGGGUGCCGGCGCUAACGCAUUAAGCAUCCCGCCUGGGGAUACGGUCGCAAGACUG
rnacentral:rRNA from 1 species